AAUUUCUUUAUUAUGAAGAAUAAGCAAAGACAUCAUGUACAUGGUUGCGUCUUCUUUAAUCUUUCUAAAUUUGUUAAGCAAAAGUAAACACAUCAUGUAGUUGGUUGCGUCGUUUUUAAUCUUUCUGAAUUUGUGAAGAUGCAGUCAAGAGAAGAAAUUAAUAACUCCUCUCUGCAGAAAGUACUUACAGACGUUGAAAAGAAACUUGUUGAUCUUUUUAUCCAAGAAUGGAACACUCAUUACAAACAAUCUCUUGGAGAAUGGGAAAAUACAAACGUCAGUGGUCAGAAAUUGUUCAACAUUGAAAGAUGAAAAAAAAUAUUUCGCGAUGAAAAAAUAUUGUCAAAACUUAAAGAUGGUGACACAAGUAAGUGGGAUUGCACGACACUAUGUAAAGCAAUAUUGUUUACCCACUCCAUUGGAACAAACAUUAAUAAUAAAGUUAAAACUGCUGUGGACAAACUUCGUGAUGUAAGAAACAAAUUCAUCCAUGAAAAUAAAGGAAAAGUUUCUGAUUCGAAAUUUCAUACAAUGGUUUGUGAUAUUCAAAACUCAUUUCAAGAUCUAGGAUUUUGAUUCACUGAAAUUAUCAAAAUAAAAAGUGAACGAAACA